AAUAUUGCACAAUGGGGGAAACCCUUAUGCAGCGACGCCGCGUGAGUGAAGUAGUAUUUCGGUAUGUAAAGCUCUAUCAGCAGGGACGAUAAUGACGGUACCUGACUAAGAAGCUCCGGCUAACUACGUGCUAGCAGCCGCGGUGAUACGUAGGGGGCAAGCGUUAUCCGGAUUUACUGGGUGUAAAGGGAGCGUAGACGGGAGGAUAAGUAAGAUGUGAUAGCCCGGGGCUCAACUCCGGGAUUGCAUUUGAAACUAACCGACUAGAGUGCAGGAGAGGUAAGUGGAAUUCCUAGUGUAGCGGUGAAAUGCGUAGAUAUUAGGAGGAACACCAGUGGCGAAGGCGGCUUACUGGACUGUAACAGACGUUGAGGCUCGAAAGCGUGGGGAGCAAACAGG
rnacentral:rRNA from 1 species